GUCCUUGUAGUAUAACAAUUACCCUGGUCUUGUAAACCAAAAAUGAAGCAUAAACCCUUCCUAGGACA
rnacentral:tRNA from 1 species